CCGUUCAGGGGUAAACCUGAGAAACCCAAAAGAUCGAAUGGGGAGAUUCAUCGCCAGCGGCGUUGGCUUCCGUGCGGCUCGCGAUGGUCGGGACCUCGGUCUCGCGCCACGUGGUCGCCGCGGUAUGUCCGGCGUCGUCGGCGUGCACUUCUCCCCUAGUAGGACGUCGCGACCCGUUGGGUGUCGGAUCAAUGGCCGAUCGGUCGUCUGUUUGCGCUUCUCGCGCGGCAGACCGAACGGUUCAACGUCCGACUGCCCGGCGGUAUAGAACGCUUAAUCACGGUAAUGGGCCGCAACUUGAAUGCGUUCAGGCUCGUCGGCAGGCUCGUCUCGCUCGGAUUUACGGACCUAGCGCCGUUGCCGGGCGCUUGACGUGGCUGUUAGUCGACGAUGUCCUCGGACUGGCUCUUACCGGUCUGCGACGCUACUGCUUUGGGUACUUUCAGGACCCGUCUUGAAACACGGACCAAGGAGUCUAACAUGUGCGCGAGUCAUUGGGACUGUUAAGCCUAAAGGCGCAAUGAAAGUGAAAGUCGUCCUUGCGUCGACCGAGGGAGGAUGGUUCGCGUCACGAUGCGAGCCCGCACUCCCGGGGCGUCUCGUGCUCAUUGCGAGCAGAGGCGCACCCAGAGCGUACACGUUGGGACCCGAAAGAUGGUGAACUAUGCCUGGUCAGGACGAAGUCAGGGGAAACCCUGAUGGAGGUCCGUAGCGAUUCUGACGUGCAAAUCGAUCGUCGGAACUGGGUAUAGGGGCGAAAGACUAAUCGAACCAUC
rnacentral:rRNA from 4 species